rnacentral:rRNA from 1 species
CCCUUAGAUGUUCUGGGCCGCACACGCGCUACACUGAAGGAGGCAGCGUGUACUCCUGGAUCGAAAGAUUUGGGUAACCCGCGAAUCUCCUUCGUGCUAGGGAUUGAGGUUUGCAAUUAUCCUUCAUGAACGAGGAAUUCCCAGUAAGUGCAAGUCAUAAGCUUGCGCUGACUACGUCCCUGCCCUUUGUACACACCGCCCGUCGCUACUACCGAUUGAAUGAUUUAGUGAGGACUUCGGACUGGGACCGAUGCGGCUUUCGGGCUGCGUCGGUAUUCUGGAAAGAUGUCCAAACUGUAUCAUUUAGAGGAAGGUGAAGUCGUANCA